CAAGAAACACUGUAAAUUUUUAAUAGACAGACUCUACUGAACAUACAGGAAUAUGCUCUACUGAAUGAAGAUAUUCUACUGAACAAUCAUUCUAGAUUACAUUUGAAAACUAGUAACAGAACUGCAUAUAGACCAGAACAACAGCAAUAAAUAAAAGUGAGGAACUCAGUUCAGCCAGAGGCAGAAGCAAGGAGAAGAAAACAGAAACAUCCAAGGUGCAUCCUCCUGUGAAUAAAGAAGACAACAGGUCAGAGGAUGGCGUGCAGCAGUAUGGGAGGUGAUGGGAGGGGAUGAAUUCAGGAUAAAGAAAUUAACUACGGGCUUCCCUG